UACGUAGGUGGCAAGCGUUGUCCGGAUUUACUGGGUGUAAAGGGCGUGUAGGCGGAGCUGCAAGUCAGAUGUGAAAUCCCGGGGCUCAACCCCGGAACUGCAUUUGAAACUGUAGCCCUUGAGUAUCGGAGAGGCAGGCGGAAUUCCUAGUGUAGCGGUGAAAUGCGUAGAUAUUAGGAGGAGCACCAGUGGCGAAGGCGGCUUACUGGACUGUAACUGACGUUGAGGCUCGAAGGCGUGGGGAGCAAACAGG
rnacentral:rRNA from 1 species